GGCAUUCGCAUGGACGAAGUCUGACGGAGCAACGCCGCGUGAGCGAAGAAGGUCUUCGGAUCGUAAAGCUCUGUUGUCAGGGAAGAACAAGUACGAGAGUAACUGCUCGUACCUUGACGGUACCUGACCAGAAAGCCACGGCUAACUACGUGCCAGCAGCCGCGGUAAUA
rnacentral:rRNA from 1 species